rnacentral:misc_RNA from 1 species
UGGGGGAAUGGCUGGGAUGCAUUGC